UUAUUUAAUAUAUAAAAAGUAUACUUAACUUCCAAUUAAGAAGAUCAAAAAUGAAAUAAAUAAU
rnacentral:tRNA from 1 species